rnacentral:rRNA from 1 species
GACGAACGCUGGCGGCGUGCUUAACACAUGCAAGUCGAACGGAAAGGCCCUGCUUUUGUGGGGUGCUCGAGUGGCGAACGGGUGAGUAACACGUGAGUAACCUGCCCUUGACUUUGGGAUAACUUCAGGAAACUGGGGCUAAUACCGGAUAGGAGCUCCUGCUGCAUGGUGGGGGUUGGAAAGUUUCGGCGGUUGGGGAUGGACUCGCGGCUUAUCAGCUGGUUGGUGGGGUAGUGGCUUACCAAGGCUUUGACGGGUAGCCGGCCUGAGAGGGUGACCGGCCACAUUGGGACUGAGAUACGGCCCAGACUCCUACGGGAGGCAGCAGUGGGGAAUAUUGCACAAUGGGCGGAAGCCUGAUCCAGCAACGCCGCGUGCGGGAUGACGGCCUUCGGGUUGUAAACCGCUUUCGCCUGUGACGAAGCGUGAGUGACGGUAAUGGGUAAAGAAGCACCGGCUAACUACGUG